rnacentral:rRNA from 1 species
AUUGAACGCUGGCGGCAGGCCUAACACAUGCAAGUCGAGCGUGCUUCCCACUGUUCAGUAUUGUCUGGGCAACUUCCUGCUGGAGCGGUAUAACUACUGGAAACAGUAUCUAAUACCCCAUACCAUCAGAUGUGCCCACAUGGGAUUAGCUAGUGGGUGGGGUAACGGCUCACCUAGGCGACGAUCCCUAGCGGGUCUGAGAGGAUGACCAGCCACACUGGAACGGAGACACGGUCGAGACUCCUACGGGAGGCAGCAGUGGGGAAUAAUGCACAAUGGGCGCAAGCCGGAUGGAGCCAUGCCGCGUGUGUGAAGAAGGCCUUCGGGUUGUAAAGCACUUUCAGCGGGGAGGCGAUACCCGCAGAAGAAGCACGGGCUAAAUCCGUGACAGCAGCCGCGGUAAUUG